rnacentral:rRNA from 1 species
GAUGAACGCUGGCGGCAUGCUUUACACAUGCAAGUCGAACGGUAACAGGCCGCAAGGUGCUGACGAGUGGCGAACGGGUGAGUAAUGCAUCGGAACGUGCCCAGUCGUGGGGGAUAACGCAGCGAAAGCUGCGCUAAUACCGCAUACGAUCUAUGGAUGAAAGCGGGGGACCGUAAGGCCUCGCGCGAUUGGAGCGGCCGAUGUCAGAUUAGGUAGUUGGUGGGGUAAAGGCUCACCAAGCCGACGAUCUGUAGCUGGUCUGAGAGGACGACCAGCCACACUGGGACUGAGACACGGCCCAGACUCCUACGGGAGGCAGCAGUGGGGAAUUUUGGACAAUGGGGGCAACCCUGAUCCAGCAAUGCCGCGUGCAGGAAGAAGGCCUUCGGGUUGUAAACUGCUUUUGUACGGAACGAAACGGCUCUGGUUAAUACCCGGGGCUAAUGACGGUACCGUAAGAAUAAGCACCGGCUAACUACGUGCCAGCAGCCGCCGUAACAC